rnacentral:rRNA from 1 species
AAGAAUCUGCCUUCAACUCUGGGAUAACUCCGGGAAACCGGGGCUAAUACCGGAUAUGAGCCUUGAUCGCAUGAUCGGGGCUGGAAAGUUUUUCGGUUGAAGAUGACUUCGCGGCCUAUCAGCUUGUUGGUGAGGUAAUGGCUCACCAAGGCGACGACGGGUAGCCGGCCUGAGAGGGCGACCGGCCACACUGGGACUGAGACACGGCCCAGACUCCUACGGGAGGCAGCAGUGGGGAAUAUUGGGCAAUGGAGGAAACUCUGACCCAGCGACGCCGCGUGCGGGAUGAAGGCCUUCGGGUUGUAAACCGCUUUCAGCAGGGAAUAAGCGCAAGUGAAGGUACCUGCAGAAGAAGCACCGGCUAACUAUGUGCCAGCAGCCGCGGUAAUACAUAGGGUGCAAGCGUUGUCCGGAAUUAUUGGGCGUAAAGAGCUCGUAGGUGGUUAGUUACGUCGGAUGUGAAAAUCAGGGGCUCAACCCCUGACCUGCAUCCGAUACGGACUAGCUAGAGUUUGGUAGGGGAGACUGGAAUUCCUGGUGUAGCGGUGGAAUGCGCAGAUAUCAGGAGGAACACCGAUGGCGAAGGCAGGUCUCUGGGCCAAUACUGACACUGAGGAGCGAAAGCGUGGGGAGCGAACAGGAUUAGAUACCCUGGUAGUCCACGCCGUAAACGGUGGCGCUAGUUGUGCGAACCUUCCACGGUUUGUGCGACGCAGCUAACGCAUUAAGCGCCCCGCCUGGGGAGUACGAUCGCAAGAUUAAAACUCAAAGGAAUUGACGGGCCCCGCACAAGCAGCGGA